rnacentral:misc_RNA from 1 species
GGCUGAUCUGGGCUGGGAUCUGCCUUUCCCUAAUUUUACGUAAGAUAUAUCUUUUCAUCAACACCAUGCUUUGUCAAAAUAUUGGUAUUACCGAAAAAUAUAAAUACCAUUAAGUUAAGUUUAUAGUGUGAAGUUAUUUAUGAUUUUCAAAUUGCAAUAAACACUUUUUUAUAAACAUUCUUACUAUGCGGCAAUAGGUAAUAACAAAAAGCAAAUGUAGACUUUCACCGUUU